rnacentral:rRNA from 1 species
AGGGCGCAGGGUGGAUGCCUUGGCACUAAGAGCCGAUGAAAGACGUGAUAAGCUGCGAAAAGCUUCGGGGAGGAGCACAUAUCCAAUGAUCCGGAGAUAUCUGAAUGGGGAAACCCGGCAGAGGAAACCUCUGUCAGCGUGCAGUGAAUACAUAGCUGUACGUGGGGAACCCGGGGAACUGAAACAUCUAAGUACCCGGAGGAAGAGAAAGAAAAUUUAUCGAUUUCCAAAGUAGCGGCGAGCGAAAUGGAAAGAGCCCAAACCGUGAUGCGUGCAUCGCGGGGUUCGGACUGCGUUGUGGCAGACGUAAGAUAGGAGAACGGACUGGGAAGUCCGGCCGGAGAGAGUGAAAGCCUCGUAUCCGAAAUCCCAAGUCGCCUAGCAGGAUCCAGAGUAGGACGAGACACGAGAAACCUUGUCUGAACGAGCGGGGACCACCCCGUAAGGCUAAAUACUUCUUAGUGACCGAUAGCGCAUAGUACUGUGAAGGAAAGGUGAAAAGUACCCCGGGAGGGGAGUGAAAGAGAACCUGAAACCCUGUGUCUACAAGCUGUGGGACCUCUUUAUAUGAGGGACUGCGUACUUUUUGUAGAACGGUCCGGCGAGUUGUGCGUACUGGCGAGGUUAAGGACUUAAGGUCUGGAGCCGAAGUGAAAGCAAGCGUUAAUAGCGCGUCAAGUCAGUGAGUGCAGACCCGAAACCGGGUGACCUAUCCAUGUCCAGGUUGAAGCUUCCGUAAGAGGAAGUGGAGGACCGAACCCACAUCCGUUGAAAAGGGUGGGGAUGAGGUGUGGAUAGCGGAGAAAUUCCAAUCGAACCCGGAGAUAGCUGGUUCUCCUCGAAAUAGCUUUAGGGCUAGCCUCGCAUUAGUUUACCGGAGGUAGAGCACUGAAUGGUCUAGGGGGCCUCACCGCCUACCGAAACCUAUCAAACUGCGAAUGCCGGAUAAAUGAUGUGCGGGAGUCAGGCCGCGAGAGAUAAGUUCCGCGGUCAAAAGGGGAACACCCCAGAUCGUCUGCUAAGGUCCCUAAGUACGCGUUAAGUGGGAAAGGAUGUUGGAUUGCACAGACAACCAGGAUGUUGGCUUAGAAGCAGCCACACAUUCAAAGAGUGCGUAAUAGCUCACUGGUCGAGUGAUCCAGCGCCGAAAAUGUAACGGGGCUAAAACGCGACACCGAAGCAGCGGGAUGCGUAAGCAUCGGUAGAGGAGCAUUGUGUGAGGGUUGAAGCCAGAGCGGGAGCACUGGUGGACUUCACAGAAGAGAGAAUGCCGGUAUGAGUAGCGAGACCCAUGCGAGAAACAUGGGCGUCGAAGGCCCAAGGUUUCCUGGGGAAGGUUCAUCCACCCAGGGUAAGUCGGGACCUAAGCCGAGGACUGAGGUCGUAGGCGAUGGACAGCAGGUAGAGAUUCCUGCACCACUUAUACUUGUUUGACGAAGCAGUGACACAGAAGGAUAGGACGAGCGCGGUGAUGGUCAACCGCGUAGGCGGCACGAGGCCGGGAAGCAGUGAAGUACACUUCCCGCAAAGGCUGAGUGUUGACAGGACCGAAAAGAAGUAGGGAAGCGUCCGAGUUCACGCUGGCGAGAAAAGCUGCUAAGGAGAGUGUGAGUGCCCGUACCGGAAACCGACGCAGGUGGGCGAGGAGAGAAUCCUGAGACGGACGGGAGAACUCUUGUUAAGGAACUCGGCAAAAUGACCCCGUAACUUCGGGAGAAGGGGUGCCUCGAAAGAGGCCGCAGAGAAUAGUCACAAGCGACUGUUUAGCAAAAACACAGGUAUCUGCGAAAGCGAGAGCUGACGUAUAGGUGCUGACGCCUGCCCGGUGCUGGAAGGUUAAGGGGAAGUGUUAGGGGAAACCCGAAGCAGAGAACCGAAGCCCCAGUAAACGGCGGCCGUAACUAUAACGGUCCUAAGGUAGCGAAAUUCCUUGUCGGGUAAGUUCCGACCCGCACGAAUGGCGUAACGACUUGUGAGCUGUCUCAACAGGAGACCCGGUGAAAUUGAAGUAUGUGUGAAGAUGCACAUUACCCGCGACUGGACGGAAAGACCCCGUAGAGCUUUACUGUAACCUGACAUUGGAUCUUGAUAACGGAUGCACAGGAUAGGUGGGACGCUGGGAGACGAGGACUUUGGUUUUCGUGGAGCGGCCGUUGGGAUACCACUCUUCUGUUAUUGAGAUUCUAACCUCAAGCCGUGAGCCGGAUGAGAGACAGUGUCAGGCGGACAGUUUGACUGGGGCGGUCGCCUCCGAAAGAGUAACGGAGGCGCCCAAAGGUACCCUCAGAAUGGAUGGAAACCAUUCGAAGAGAGCAAAGUCAGAAGGGUGCUUGACUGCGAGACCAACAAGUCGAGCAGGUACGAAAGUAGGGCUUAGUGAUCCGGCGGUAAGAGAGUGGAAUUGCCGUCGCUCAACGGAUAAAAGCUACCUCGGGGAUAACAGGCUGAUCUCCCCCAAGAGUUCACAUCGACGGGGAGGUUUGGCA